rnacentral:rRNA from 1 species
GAUGAACGCUGGCGGCGUGCCUAAUACAUGCAAGUCGAGCGAACAUACUAGGAGCUUGCUCCUCUGACGUUAGCUGCGGACGGGUGAGUAACACGUGGCUAACCUACCUAUAAGACUGGGAUAACUUCGGGAAACCGGCGCUAAUACCGGAUAAUAUAUUGAACCGCAUGGUUCAAUAGUGAAAGACGGUUUUGCUGUCACUUAUAGAUGGAUCCGCGCCGCAUUAGCUAGUUGGUAAGGUAACGGCUUACCAAGGCAACGAUGCGUAGCCGACCUGAGAGGGUGAGCGGCCACACUGGAAGGGAGACACGGUCCAGACCACUACGGGAGGCAGCAGUAGGGAAUCUGCCGCAAUGGGCGAAAGCCUGACGGAGGAACGCCGCGUGAGUGAGGAAGGUCUUCGGAUCGUAAAACUCUGUUAGUAGGGAAGAACAAAUAUGUAAGUAACUAUGCACGUCUUGACGGUACCUAAUCAGAAAGCCACGGAUAACUAGGUG